rnacentral:rRNA from 1 species
UACGUAGGGUGCAAGCGUUAAUCGGAAUUACUGGGCGUAAAGCGUGUGUAGGCGGCUCUGCAAGUCGGAUGUGAAAGCCCUGGGCUCAACCCAGGAAGUGCACUCGAUACUGCAGAGCUUGAGUAUCGGAGAGGUUGGUGGAAUUCUCGGUGUAGAGGUGAAAUUCGUAGAUAUCGAGAGGAACACCGGUGGCGAAGGCGGCCAACUGGACGAAUACUGACGCUGAGACACGAAAGCGUGGGGAGCAAACAGG